CAUUGAGACAAUUCCCAUGAAAAAUAUGGAAAAUGGUAUUAAUGGUUAUCAUAGUGAGCGCUGUCAAGGUAUUCCUAACCCCAUGAUGACAAGUGUUCCCACGUAUGACACAAUGA